UAGUUACCUUCAAAAAGAAAAUGUGAUCCUUUAAAGGAAGAUCUGUGCUUGUAUUCUAGUGCAUGAGCCUCUCUCCUCAAUAAUGGUCUAAGCCAAUGCUUGAACCGCAGGCUAUCCUGACUACAUAGUAUGGACCUCACUUUUCUUUUGUCCUAGGCCAUUUCUAUCCAGCUGUACCUAUUUUUCCUACUAUUUCAACUCCUUUGAUCCCAUCAAAUUUGCAUCUGUUGAAUUGAUUCAAAAUAUUAGUUAUAGUCAAAAUAGUUGUUAAGUGGGUAAUUAUUAUUUAUGAGUUAUUUCUAAUUUAGUGGAGUAAGGUAUGGAAUCAUAAGUUAACUCUCUAUUUUAUGUGUAAUUAGUUAUUUAGUUUUCCUAUUUAAUAGGUACUUGUAUUUCGUUUUUAUAUGUGUUAAUGAGAAAGUUAGUGUUUUACAUUUUAUUCUAUAUCUCUCAACAUGGUAUCAAGAGCUUUAGGUUAGAUCCAAAAUUUUUUUUUCCCAAUGUGGCCGAGAGAUUGUGUGAGAUUUUUAGCAAUAAACCUUGUGUUGUGUAGCCUUACUCAUUUAUGACUAGUGUCGGGUAUUAAAAGCAAAAUAAGGAAGGAAAGUGUUCGGAUGUUUUAGAAAAAGUAUGUGCGUUAGAUAGGGGUUACAAGCAAUUUUCUUUUAGUUAGUAGUAUUUAUUUUUAAAAGCAAAAGUCAAACCCUUGUUUCUUGUUUGCCUUCACGCAAUAUCUUUCAUUAUUCAAAUUUUUUUUUUCUUAUUUUUAUUUUAUUUAGUGUGCCUAAAAACCAUGUCCUUUAAUGGAGCUAUUGUGUCAUCUCAACCCUCAAUACCCAUGUUCAAAAAGAAUACAUAUUAUUUAUGGAGUGUCAAAAUGCAAACAAUGUUUAAGUCUCAUGAGUUAUGAGACAUAGUUGAAAGUGGGUACAGUGAACCAGAACAGUCACCAGCACAACCUAGUCAAAGCUUGCGUGAUAAUUGCAAGAAGGAUGCUAAGGUUCUGUUUUUCAUUCAAUUUGCUUUAGAUGAUGAUAUAUUUUCUCGAAUUUCAUCUACAAAGUCAUCAAAAGAGACUUGGGAAAUCAUUAAGAGUGAGUAUUUUGGUGAUAAGAAGAUAAUUGUAGUUAAGUUACAAAGUUUGCAUUCUGAGUUUGAGACUUUAACGAUGAAUGAUAAGAAAGGUAUACAAGUUUAUUUGUCUAGAGUUGCAAGUGUUGUGAACCAAAUGAGAUCUUAUGGGAAAAUAAUUAGUAACACUACCGCCGUAAGUAAAGUUUUGAGAAGCCUUAAAAGGAGCUACAAUCAUGUGGUGGAUGCAAUUGAGGAGUCCAAGGACUUAUCAACUAUAGCGGGUUGAGAUUUAUUCUUUAAUUCAGGUGAAAUAUUGCGAAUGGAAAGAACAUUAGAGAACAGGAGGACUACAUUUUAUAAUGCUCUUGAUUAGCGGCUAAUCGGGUCUCCACGAGUACUUUCAAGCUUCAUUCACAUGAUGUGAACAAGAUCUAAACAAUAUUUAAUUCCAUCCGUAAUACUCUCUCCUAUUCAUGCUACUAGUCAUAUUUAGUUUUCCACGAGUACUUUCAAGCUUCAUUCACAUGAUGUGAACAAGAUCUAAACAAUAUUUAAUUCCAUCCCUACACGGAGCAUGACCUGGACUGCACUGCACCAGUUUCCACUUCAUUAUCUACCGUCAGUUCCUUAGCAUUAGCUCAAUCUAAGUUGCCAACAUAUCUUCUUCCUCUUUAUUAUUAUUCAUUUUGUCGUUUACUAUUAACUGCUAGCAUUUUAUUAAUUUAUUUUUAUUAUUACAAUUUGAUUAUUAUAUUAUAACUUCUAUUAUAAGAGAUCGUCUCUUAAUGAUAAUCUCAAAAUAAAAAAUUGAUAUUCUCCUACAUUAUAUUAUUAGGCUAUUUGUAUCAUGAUUGAAGCGUGUCUCAGUGUGAGAUCACCUCAUCCAACAAUUUGUGUUUACUUUAAUUAAGUAAAUGUAUUAUUAUACCCACCUUAUAAUAUGCGUAAAUUAUGUAUGCAUUUGUAGGAA